UUUGAUAUGGCGAAAUUGGUAGACGCGGGGGUCUUAGAAGCCUCUCUAAAAUAGGUGGGAGUUCAAGUCUCCCUAUCAAGA
rnacentral:tRNA from 1 species